GAUGAACGCUGACAGAAUGCAUAACACAUGCAAGUCAACUUGAAUUUGGGUUUAUUAACUUAGAUUUGGGUGGCGGACGGGUGAGUAACGCGUAAAGAACUUGCCUCACAGCUAGGGACAACAUUUAGAAAUGAAUGCUAAUACCUGAUAUUAUGAUUUUAGGGCAUCCUAGGAUUAUGAAAGCUAUAUGCACUGUGAGAGAGCUUUGCGUCCCAUUAGCUAGUUGGAGAGGUAACGGCUCACCAAGGCGAUGAUGGGUAGCCGGCCUGAGAGGGUGAUCGGCCACAAGGGGACUGAGACACGGCCCUUACUCCUACGGGAGGCAGCAGUGGGGAAUAUUGGACAAUGGACCAAGAGUCUGAUCCAGCAAUUCUGUGUGCACGAUGAAGUUUUUCGGAAUGUAAAGUGCUUUCAGUUGGGAAGAAAAAAAUGACGGUACCAACAGAAGAAGUGACGGCUAAAUACGUGCCAGCAGCCGCGGUAAUACGUAUGUCACAAGCGUUAUCCGGAUUUAUUGGGCGUAAAGCGCGUCUAGGUGGUUAUGUAAGUCUGAUGUGAAAAUGCAGGGCUCAACUCUGUAUUGCGUUGGAAACUGUGUAACUAGAGUACUGGAGAGGUAAGCGGAACUACAAGUGUAGAGGUGAAAUUCGUAGAUAUUUGUAGGAAUGCCGAUGGGGAAGCCAGCUUACUGGACAGAUACUGACGCUGAAGCGCGAAAGCGUGGGUAGCAAACAGG
rnacentral:rRNA from 1 species